GCCAGGCAUGGUGGCGCAUGCCUGUAGUCCCAGCUACUUGGGAGGCUGAGGCAGGAGAAUUGCUUGAACCCAGGAAGCUGAGGUUGCAGUGAGUUGAGAUCGUGCCACUUACACUCCAGCCUGAGUGACAGAGUGAGCCUCUGUCUCAA
ensembl:misc_RNA Metazoa_SRP Metazoan signal recognition particle RNA